CAUGCACUCCUCUCAGCGCGUCAGGUACCUCAUCGGAGUGACCAUCAUACUGCUGUCAACCCUCGUGAGAUGUUCGGCGUUGAAUCCGAUUGAACCGCAGCCUCCACCCCUUGUGUGCUCCCCCGCCAAUUCCCUUAAGUUUCAGCCUUGCGGCCGUACUCCCCAGGUGGCCCGUUUAACACCUACGCUCCGGCACCGCAAACCCACUUAAGGUUUGCGACACCAAACGGGCAUUGUUUACAGCGUGGACUACUGGGGUAUCUAAUCCCAUUUGCUCCCCACGCUUUCGUCCCUCACCGUCGGACUCGCUCCAGACUGACGCUUUCGCUACCGGUGGUCCUCCAUGGAUUAAAGGAUUUAACCCCUACACAUGGAAUACCUCAGUCCUUUCCCGAUCCCAAGUCCUGCAGUAUUUCCAGCAUGCCUGACAGUUAGCUGCCAGAUUUCACCAGAAACUUACAAGAACGGCUACGGACGCUUUAGACCCAAUAAUCGCGAUCACCAUUAGUGGCGCAGGUAUUACCGCGGCGGCUGGCACCUGUCUUACCCACCACUUAUUCCUCUAGCUGUUUAGGCUACAGAAACGGUUAUGCAUUGCAUUAACACUCAGGCUCCCUUCUCACGCGCUACGAAUGGAAGUUUCGCGCC
rnacentral:rRNA from 1 species